GCGUCAGAUGUGUAUAAGAGACAGGUGAGUCAUCGAAUCUUUGAACGCAACUUGCGCCAUUUAUGGCAUGUUCCCUUGAGUCGGUGUAAGCCAAUGAGGCGCAUAUACAUUAUGUGUAUAUUUGUCUUGUGUUGGGGCGUACAUGGUUUAUUCUAUGUUGCCUUGAAAUGUCUGUCAUCCGUGGAGGAUUGUGAGCUAUAAGGCCUUGGCUUUAAUUUCAUAUUUCGUCUCCACGACACCACAAUCCGCUCAAGUGGAACAGGAUCACCCGCUGGACUUAAGCAUAUCAAUAAGCGGAGG
rnacentral:misc_RNA from 1 species